CGAAAGCCUGACGGAGCAAUACCGCGUGAGGGAUGACUGCCUAUGGGUUGUAAACCUCUUUUUUCAGGGAGGAAUAAAAUGACGUGUACCUGAGGAAUAAGCAUCGGCUAACUCCGUGCCAGCAGCCGCGGUAAGACGGAGGAUGCAAGUGUUAUCCGGAAUCACUGGGCGUAAAGCGUCUGUAGGUGGUUUAAUAAGUCAACUGUUAAAUCUUGAAGCUCAACUUCGAAAUCGCAGUCGAAACUGUUAGGCUAGAGUAUAGUAGGGGUAAAGGGAAUUUCCAGUGGAGCGGUGAAAUGCGUAGAGAUUGGAAAGAACACCGGUGGCGAAGGCACUUUACUGGGCUAUUACUGACACUCAGAGACGAAAGCUAGGGUAGCA
rnacentral:rRNA from 1 species